CCAGGGCAGUGACCGGGCAGUGCUGUGGAUGCCCGGUGGCUUCUGAGGGACCAAAGGGUUGGUGUGGGUCCUCACAGAAGGGGUCUGGGGGUCCCGGUGCUGCAGCAGUGGCCACAGUGGCCCCUCAUCCCAGAUGGAUGAGGCCGCCCGCCGCCCAGCCCUGGGCCCAGACUCCCCGGGAUCACACCAGCCCUGCCUGGUUUAGACGCUCCCUCCCCGGCUCUCAGCGCGACUCCGCCCCAUUCUCCCGCCGAUGUUUCUCUGAACCCCUCUUGGAACAUCAACCUGAACACCGCGUUUCAGACGCACCGUGAACAGACACAGGCCUGUGAACAGCACGAUCCCAGACAUGCAGAGUGCAGGGCCCCUCCCCCAUCUCCUCUGCCAGGUCCCCCAGCCCGGGGGCCCCUGUCACUCCGUCUGAUACAUGGAAGGGGCAGCGAAUGCUCCUUGACCUGGUGCUGUGCUGGGGGCCUCAUGCCGUGGGCCACCCCCACCCCCCGGGUCCCUGUUGUGUGGUUGGGGCUCAGCGUGUUAAGUGACCUGUGUGGGGUUGCCCAGCGCCUGCCCCCUGGGGUACCCUGGAGCGUGGGGCUCCCCAGUUUGCUGAGAUCGAGUCCCCUGGAAAGGGAAGCAGGGGUGGGCCGCACGUGGGGUCGGCGCGUCCCUGUGCGUGCCGCGCCUUCUGAAGCUUCUCCGUCGGCCUGGUCCAGGGCCCUGCAGCUGAGCCCUGGGACGGUCCAGGCAGCCAACAGAAGGGAAGGGGGCAGGUGAGGUGGGCCGAAAUAGCAACUGUCCCAGCUGCCCCGCAGGACCCCUCCGAGCCGUCCACUGUCUGUCUGUCCUGCACCCGCCCGACUAGGCUCAGGACCGGCCAGAGAGCACCCGCCUCGCCCGGCAGCAGGCAGCCCGGUGGGGCCCAAGGGCCAGCGGCCAGGGCGCUGGGAGGAGCCCCAUCCUGACGACAGAAGCCCUCUCCUGCCUGCCCGGUUUCUGCAGCGAGCACACCCUCUCAGAGAAGGAGCUGGAAGCCCAGAAAGCCGCUGGCAGGGCUGAGAGAAGGAAGGGCGUUGGGAAGACAGGACGGACCAAGUCACACGCAUGGGACUGUGUGCCCUCCGCUGCCCCACCGACACCCGGCCAGGCCUUCGUCAUCCUCCCCUGGGCCUCUGGGCGCUCUCUCAGCUGGGGCACCCAGGACGGCACUCCCUGACUUCUGAGCACAUCUGCAGAGCAGCUCUGCCGGCGUCCUGAAGGGCGGUCAGAGCGUACGGACGGGGACGGCUGCCCACCACACUUGCGGGCCUUUGCCAGUGCUGGCUCCCCUUCCUUCACCCUCGGCCUCCGCCACACCUCCAACCUUCUAGCUCCCAUCCCGAGAUCUCAGGUGUCAGUCGCCAGGAAGAUGUGAUUAAUCCCCCCCACCCAACACCCGGCCCGUCUUCGCCCUGGAGCGGCCAUGCAUUCCAGCUGCCAACGACGUGUUCCUGUGCGUGUGAGCGGCCGCGGGGGUCGGCAUCUGCUCUGUGACGACGGGCUCUCCGAGGUGGCUGUCCACUCUGCCCACCGCCUCGCCACCGGUGCCGGUGCAGGAGAUUCACACGGGAGUGUUUGUUGAUUGACUACGCAAGAGGAUGCCCUAAACGGCACGUGUUCAUUCUGCCGAGUGGCUGAGAGAACCGAGCCUACUUGACCCGAAAUGUUAUGACAUCACGGCCACAUGAAGAGACAAUCAGAGUAUCCAGCUGAACUGUAGAAAAAAAGGGAAUUAUCGGGGCACCUGGGGAGCUCAGGCGGUUAAGCAUCUGACUUCGGCUCAGGUCAAGACCUCACGGUUCAUGAGUUCAAGCCCCACAUCGGGCUGUGUGCUGACAGCUCGGAACCUGGAACCUGCUUCAGAUUCUGUGUCUCCCUCUCUCUCUGCCCCUCCCCCACUCGCACUCUGUCUCUCUCUCUCAAAAUAAACUUUAAAAAAAGAAAAAAGGCAAAAGGGAAUUACACAGGUAUGUCAAGUGAUCGAUAAUUUUCCUUGACUUUAUCAUGCAUACGAAAUUUAAAAUAUGAUCCUUUCGCUAUGGUUUCUUUUCUGGUUCCAAAUAGUCACGUUUGCACCUACA